AAUGUAAAAAGGAAAUUGGAGAAAUUUUGGGAAAGUUUUAGAGGAAGCAUAAAUUGGUAGUGCCUCUCCCAAAUGGUGCAACUUAGACUUUCCAUUCCCUUCAUACUCUCCUCCUCAUAGCAUCCAACACCUACCUCUACAAAAACGACGCUAUCUCAGGUCCCUCCAUCUUUGCAUCGGCCUCUUCUUCUUCGACUCCUGCUCAUUUCGUUCACUGUACUCCCCGAAGACCCAUUUCGGCGUUGAACUGGCCCAGUAUAGUAAUACAGACAAAACCCAUAUGCCCAUCUGCUCAGCUCCAUAGCCAAUUUCUUCGAAGACGCACCGUCACAGAGCCCAACUUCAACAGCACUCCAUCGUACAGCUCCUUCUCGCAAAAUCGACCUAUUUCUCUGCUGCCUACAACAAAGGCAUCCUAUUCUUCUUUAGGCAGCAGCUUAACGCCCUACUCAUAGAACCAUCAUACCCAUACUCACCUCAACACAAGGCCCAGCCCUGCAUUCACGCUCUCACUCAACGCACGCCUCCACAGACUCGCAUUGCGGCUUCAUCUUCGUUCAUUCAUUCGUCCUCCCCUCAUCAGUAGAGACACACCUUCAGUCCCCACAGGCUUAUAUUGGUCGGCUGCUUGUUUCUAUUGGCAAUUCCAUGUCCAGUUUAUCUUCCUCUAUCAACUGCUGUAGUGCAGGUGAUACCACUUACAAAGGAAGCUUGAAGGUGUAAGGCUGUACUACAAGGCAUCAAUGUGCAAUGUCAGGAAAAGAAAAUCCAAGGUCUUUGUGUCUGAUAGUACAAUGCAAAAAUGGAAGGAGGCAGGGAGUAGCCCAGAGUUCAAAGCUAAGAGCUAUUAAUUUAUUGCUAACUAUCGUAGUGAGACAAGGGAGCUAGGGAAGCUCAGCUUUGGCAGAGACCUCUUCCCUAUGAGCUUUUCUAUAAGACCCAUGCUAGGAAGGGCAACUCCGAUAUGGUUGAUGUAUGGGCACAAUCAAUUAAGACGCAUUUUUAAUGCUUAAGGAGUAGUCAUCUCAGCCACAAGAGGGAUGCAGCGACCCUCUUAUUGUGGAUGAGGAGCACUAUAUUAUCAGGCUGUAAGGGCGAGGGAAAAAGAAAAAUAGGGUUUAUGGCAUUAGAUUCCCAGCAUCAGUUUUCUACCCUGACUCACGCAUGGACCAUCUUCUACUGCAUCCCAUCAUGCUCAGUCGAAGGCAAUGAAGGAAGAGAUUCGAAAAUUGCACCAAACUGUCAAGACUCUAAAGGAUAGUCUGGCUAUAAUGGAAGAGAGAGACCAAUAAUGCAAGCAGAUGUUGGAGGAGAGAGAUUGACAACACGAGCAAAUGCUGGAGGAGAGACACCAACAUUGCGAGCAAAUGUUGGAGGAGAGACACCAGCAACUCGAGCAAACACUAGAGGAAUGCAUGCAAUAAAUGAUGCAGAACAUGAUGGUACAGAUUAUGCAGGGUGCACAGUUUAUAGCCUAAGCUUUGGAUGUUACUCACCAAGAUGAUUAUAAAGUUAUUGAUGCUGGUGAUGAAAUUAGUGAUGACAAUUAGCUUAUUGUUUUGUUCUUAUAAUAUUUUAUAUUUUUGUACACUACAUUAUUGUCGUAAC